AAGACGACCUGAUCGAGCCGAGAACAUUAUAUCAUGGUGGGGGUAGCUCUCCCAGUGGCUAGUGGUAUUUGUUUUUCCUAUUCAUGAACGUGAGACGUUACUUGAGGAGGAUUAGACAUGUGCGACCUGAACCAACAAAGAACUGGGUAGUCAUCAACAACAACCAACACUUAAAUUAUAGGUAGCCUUUUUAAUGGAUGGAUAAUUGCUGAAGUUAGAGGCCGGUUAUGUGAGCCAUUAUAACAUAUCCCGCGAAAAGCGCCACGAAGCAUCCGGUAAAUAGUCCUGAUUUUAUUUGAAGCAAUCAGCUAAAUGUUUGAAGUAACUUUCUAUAUAUUCUGCAUUAUUUUUGCUUGAAAGUUUGGCAAUUGUGUUAUAUUAUUUUAGAUUCAUUCUUCAUAAGGUUAUAUGUAGUUUGAAUAUGAUUUAGAGCAGCAUGGGACCUGUACUUCCCUUCCACCCAAGAGUGGACCAGUUACUACCAUUCCUUUUGUGAGCCUAGUGGCUCAAAAGGUAUCAUAUUGUGUUUUCUUUAGAUACUAAUGGUCACAAAGCAAACUAGCUUAAAGUUCUCAACCAAAAUGAUUGAUUACAAAAGACAAAACAAAAAAGUGGAAAUUAAAAGACCAAAUAUUUGGUUAAAAGUAACUCACCAAUGAAGAAAGUUACAGUAUGUGUAUGUGAUUCUAAAGUUACAGGUACCAUAUUGUGUUUUCUCAAGAUACUAAUGGUCACAAAGCAAACUAACUUAAAGGUCUCAACCAAAAUGAUUGAUUACAAAAGACAAAACAAAAAAGUGGAACUAAAAGGUCCAAAUAUUUGGUUAAAAGUUAGAAGUAACUCACCAAUGA